rnacentral:rRNA from 1 species
GACGAACGCUGGCGGCGUGCUUAACACAUGCAAGUCGAACGGAAAGGCCCUGCUUUUGUGGGGUGCUCGAGUGGCGAACGGGUGAGUAACACGUGAGUAACCUGCCCUUGACUUUGGGAUAACUUCAGGAAACUGGGGCUAAUACCGGAUAGGAGCUCCUGCUGCAUGGUGGGUGUUGGAAAGUUUCGGCGGUUGGGGAUGGACUCGCGGCUUAUCAGCUUGUUGGUGGGGUAGUGGCUUACCAAGGCUUUGACGGGUAGCCGGCCUGAGAGGGUGACCGGCCACAUUGGGACUGAGAUACGGCCCAGAAUCCUACGGGAGGCAGCAGUGGGGAAUAUUGCACAAUGGGCGGAAGCCUGAUGCAGAAACGCCGCGUGCGGGAUGACGGCCUUCGGGUUGUAAACCGCUUUCGCCUGUGACGAAGCGUGAGUGACGGUAAUGGGUAAAGAAGCACCGGCUAACUACGUG